UUCUGCCUCUGAUGAAACUGCUAAAAGCCAGAAGCCGGCAGGAAGAGUCCAUAGAUACCAUUGUGGUACUGGUUAACCCUAACAUCAAGGAAAACUGUUAGAAAGGAACAAGUGUUCUGCUGGAACGCCCAGCUCACUCCUGCUUGGUCCAGAAAGCCCCAUUCCUCUCGCUCCAAACCCCACCCUUUCAGUGAAUCUCCGGGAAAGAAAAGACCAACAAGUCCAGUUCAGCAUUCUUGGCUCCUCCCCUGAGGUUGCCAGCCGCCCAAGUCCCCCAGCGAUAGUGCUCAGCUUUUGACCUUAUUUGGGCACAAUUCCGACAGUUAGACUUGAUCUGGCUUAAUGCAUUGGCGGAAAAACCUAUUAUCGUGUUACAGAAAACCUGUUAACAAGAACAAAAGGACAGUAAAGAAAUUUUAAAAUAAGCAUCUCUCUUCCCAUAUCCCCGUGCUCAUGGGAUGCUGCCAUGUUUGAGGACUCGUUUCUUACCUCCACUGUUGCUGUCCUGCGGCUUUCAGCGCUAGAGUCCCGCCACCACUCCCCUUCUCUCAUCACACGGGACUUCUGUUAUCCUCUGUGUGCCUGGCUCC